GACGAACGCUGGCGGCGUGCCUAAUACAUGCAAGUCGAACGCAGUGGGGACGGGGGAGUAACCCGUGGGUAACCUCCCAUCAGAGGGGAUAACCCUUGGAAACAGGUGCUAAACCGCUACUGAUGUAUGGACCGGGGGUGCAUUAGCUAGUUGGUGGGGUAACGGCUCACCAAGGCGACGAUGCAUAGCGGAUCUGAGAGGGUGAUCGGCCACACUGGGACUGAGACACGGCCCAGACUCCUACGGGAGGCAGCAGUAGGGAAUAUUGGGCAAUGGGCGAAAGUCUGACCGAGCCACGCCGCGUGAGUGAAGAAGGUUUUCGGAUCGUAAAACUCUGUUAUUGGGGAAGCGGUACCCAAAGAGAAAGCAACGGCUAACUACGUGCCAGCAGCCGCGGUAAUAC
rnacentral:rRNA from 1 species